UGGCACCUAUUUUACCAUAUCAUCUGAAAAACUCCUCAUGACGCCAUAGCACCCAUUGAAAUAGAGUGUUUGGGAAAAAAACGAAAUCUUUUGGUCCAGUCUAGAGGGCGUAGUCAGAAGAAAACGGCAACCAAUAGAAGUAAUACUCAUCAUCACUUCUAUUGGUUUCUGACACGUCCAUCAACCGCCAGCACUCACCCCUCCUCCCUGCGCGUUCACCGACUCGUGAACUUGACCGACCCCGCCCCCAUCAUUCACGCACACGCGACAAGGCUCAUCAUCACUCGGCUAGUAGCAAGGUAACGAGAGUUAGCAGCAGGCUGAGCUACUUGAAAAAUUUGGUGGCUUUUGCAGAGCUACAGGAAGAACUUUGGCUUUUGGAACACUGGACUAACCAUGUCAGGAUAACAUACUCCCUUGGAUUAUAGUCAUAUCGGACUCGCAAGACCAGACUCCAACACGGGCUGAAAAUUUGAAAUGGGACCUGACACUCUUGGACACAGAUGUCGGCUACGGCAGCGGCUUCAAAUACGCUUUGGUGACCAUAUUUCUAAUCGAGAGUUGUGCGAACGAGCCAGACAAACCAGCUGGGAGGAGGACGGAAGCACCCCUUCUCCAUCCGCGUUCAGUUGCUAAAGAUUCACCCCGUAGUCAACAGCAGACAGGGUCCUUCCACAACCACAUACUUAUGCCAGUAAAAGCCACAGCUUUUCUCCUCCAAUCCAAGAAGCCUGGACUGCAGUCACCAUCUCAACACACCAACCAAGAGAAAGGCGGAUGGCUCAAUUCAAUAUGGAAAAUUGCACAAUAAAAGUUCCAGGACAUGAAGGCUGCAUACUGUGAACGUCAACCUUCAGGGCACCGUCCUGCGCAGAAGACUUUCUACCCUAAGAGGGAUGGCUGACCGCAGACACUCACAACCAGCACAGACGCCUCCAACCUCAGACUAGGCCCUUCACAGUUGCUGCACUUACCCACCUUCCCAGAGUUUUUGUGUGAUUGCGCAGAGGCGCCAGGUUGGUUGUGCUACUGGGCUGUGACUGAGGACCAGAUGUCAUGUGCCAGGUCGAACAUCAAACUGGGGUCACGGGUCAGGGCACGCUGCAGUAACCGAUGGGAUUGCUUCAAAUUCAAUGAUUGAAUCAAGGCCUGCAAAGCAAUAAAUACAUUUUAUGUAGUGCAUUUUCUAUUUGAUGAUGGGGACUAAAUAACUCUAUUGACAAUAAGACCAAUAUGGACAUAAGCAAUCAUUAUUGUGUAUAUAAAUAAAGAUGUGCCAAUUAUAUGCAUACAACGUUUUCAGUCAAUUUCUUACAAACUGGUGUUGUGCCAGGGGUUACACAGAUGUAUGAAGUAGAUGGGCUUUUAUGGAUGUACUUGAACUACCACUGGUGUUGUGUACCUACAACCAUGUAAUAUCACACUACUACUCAUAGGAGUAGAAAUAUUGUAAUGGUUAUCACAACAGGUGUACUCGUGUAGCCUACUCGUGUUGCGAUAUAGAGUACAUCC